GGGUUCACUUCCUGUGGGUCUACAGUCAGCUUUCUCUUCCCGCAAAACAAAAUCGAGGACAUCCGGUGGGACGGAGAAGAAGCGGCAGAGAAGGCGAUCCAACUUCACUUCCGGGUGGAGCAGAUCGUCUACUGCCAGGACCAGGCUUACCGAGGCGCGCUGCAGCGGGUCAGGGAGGAGGACGCCCAGAAAUCCUGCCUGGGCCUCAGUUUUGCUCCCCGGGACUCUGCUCCCCGGGACUCCGCUGUGGCCGAAGUCCUGCAGCACUUGAAUGCCUACCGCCAGGUGCCUGUGACACGUUCAGUGGUUCACCGUCUGGGGAGGUCUGUGGCCAGGUUGUCCCUGAUUCCCAGAGAAGGAAGCUGAGUCACACGGGGACAGCAGAACUUGCUGGGCCCCCAGCACGUGUCACAGCCCUGAGGUCAGCGUGUGUCAGACCGAGUGAGUGAGGACAGUGGGGCAGCAGGAGGAGCGGUGGGGACUCUGUCCAAGGUGGGACCCAGGCUCCUGCCGGGCCCGGACCCAGCUGCCGCAGAGCCAGAGGCUCGGCCCACACGGGAAGAAGUGGGGUGCUCUCCCCAGGUGCCGUGUGAAUGUGGGGAGAGCAGCGUCCCUCGUGGAAACCUUCCUGUGACCCACCCUUCCCCUCCAGGAGGUCGGACGAAGCCUGGCCAGACAAGUCCCCCUCAUCAU
rnacentral:lncRNA from 1 species